ensembl:lncRNA
UAUACAUGGUUAUUAAUAUAUAUUUUAAGCCCCACACUUGAUAAUAUUUUUAUUGAUUUCCAUUGAGCUCCAUCUCAUCCCAAUAAUUAACAUUGUCUGUCCACAGAUAUGUGAUGUUAUUUUUUUUAAAGGAACAUCAAUCUCAUUAAAGAUAUUUCCAUAAAUUUUACUUUUAUAUUUAGUAGUACUUGCCUGGAGAAUCCCAGGGAUGGGGGAGCCUGGUGGCCUGCUGUCUAUGGGGUUGCACAGAGUAGGACAUGACUGAAAUGACUUAGCAGCAGUAUAUCAAAACAUAUUUUUAUACUUCAUUGUAUAGUAAUGCUAAUUGUAAUUAAUCAAGCCAGAAGAAAUUUUUAAAAAUUUGAAUUGUGUACACUGAAGAUUUUAAAAUGGUACAAAUUAACAUACAUAUUUUUAUUAUAGAGAAAUGUGGCUAUGAACUUUUAAGUAUAAAAUUGUGGGUGAGGUGGAAUGUAUUUUUUAAAUGGAGAUGGUAGAUAUUAAACAGCUAUGAUUUUUAGAGUCUAGUGGAUAAAUUUGGAGUGAUGGAAUAGUUUUAUUUUAAAAUGACAAUAUUUAUUACAUUGAUUAAGUUCUUUGCUAGAACUGUUGAAACUUAGGAUGAAAAAUCUUGACUCUUACAUCUGUUUAAACAGUAUUUUUGGUGUGUCUGUGAGAGGGUUUCCAGAAGCAAUUAACAUUUGAAUUGGUGAACUGAGUAAGGCAGAUUGCCCUCCCUAAUGUAGGCGUGCUUCAUAUGAUCCGUUGGGGGCCUGAAGGGAACCGAAAGGUAGGGGAAGCUUGAGUUUGCCCUUUCCUUGAUCCCUGGAGCUGGGACAUCACUGUUUCCCUGCCCUUUAUGCUCGUGAUGCUUAGGCCUUCGGACAGACCGAAACCUAUACCACUGGCUCUGGCUCUCAGGCCUUUGAAUGACACUUCUGGCCUUCCUGGGUCCCUAGUUUGCAGAUAUGGGCCCUCUCAGGCUCCAUAAUCACAUGAGCCAAUAUCUGUUGAGUCUCUCUAUGUGUAUGAGAAGGCAAUGGCACGCCACUCCAGUACUUUUGCCUGGAAAAUCCCAUGGGUGGAGGAGCCUGGUAGGCUGCAGUCCAUGGGGUUGCAGAGUCGGACACGACUGAGCGGCUUCACUUUCACUUUCUCUGUAUGUGUAUGUCUUUCUGUUUAUCUUUCUUGUAUUGGUUCUGUUUCUUUGGAGACCCCCUAAUACUAAUACUGAUUUGCAAGAAUACUGGAGUGGGUUGCCAUGCCUUCCUCCAGGGGAUCUUCUCAAGCCAGGGAUCGAACCUGUGUCUCCUGCAUUGGCAGGUGGGUUCUUUGCCACUUGGGAACCCCAGCUAAGCCUGUGCUGCACAACUAUUGAGUCUGUGCCCUACACAACCCGGGAGCUGCAGCUCCAGAAGCUCUAGUGCUCUAGAGCCUGUGCUACACAUCAGGAGAAGCCACACAUUGAGAAGCCUGUGCACCUCAACCAUAUAGUAGUCCCCAUUUGCCACAACUAGAGAAAAGCCUGCAUAGCAACAAAGACGCAGCGUAGCUAAAAACAACUAAAUUUUAAAGAAAGACACCUAAAGGCCCAGUAGUCACCAUAACUAUUUCUGGAUGAUGUUAUUAUCAGUCCUACUCAGUUCAGUCAGUCAGUUCAGUCGCUCAGUCAUGUCCAACUAGGUGACCCCAUGGACUGCAGCACGCCAGGCUUUCCUGUCCAUCACCAACUCCCGGAGCCUACACAAACUCAUGUCCAUCAUGUCAGUGAUGCCAUCCAACCAUCUCAUCCUCUUCCCCGCCUCUCCCGCCUUCAGUCUUUCCCAGCAUCAGGGUCUUUGCCAGUGAGUUGUUUCUUCACAUCAGGUGGCCAAAGUAUUGGAGUUUCAGCUUCAGCAUCAGUCCUUUCAAUUAAUAUUCAGGACUGAUUUCCUUUAGAAUGGACUGGUUGGAUCUCCUUGCAGUCUAAGGGACUCUCAAGAGUCUUCUCCAACACCACAGUUCAAAAGCUAUUCUACU